rnacentral:rRNA from 1 species
GGGGAAUAUUGCACAAUGGGGGAAACCCUGAUGCAGCGACGCCGCGUGGAGGAAGAAGGUCUUCGGAUUGUAAACUCCUGUUGUUGAGGAAGAUAAUGACGGUACUCAACAAGGAAGUGACGGCUAACUACGUGCCAGCAGCCGCGGUAAAACGUAGGUCACAAGCGUUGUCCGGAAUUACUGGGUGUAAAGGGAGCGCAGGCGGGAAGACAAGUUGGAAGUGAAAUCCAUGGGCUCAACUCAUGAACUGCUUUCAAAACUGUUUUUCUUGAGUAGUGCAGAGGUAGGCGGAAUUCCCGGUGUAGCGGUGGAAUGCGUAGAUAUCGGGAGGAACACCAGUGGCGAAGGCGGCCUACUGGGCACCAACUGACGCUGAGGCUCGAAAGUGUGGGUAGCAAACAGGAUUAGAUACCCUGGUAGUCCACACCGUAAACGAUGAUUACUAGGUGUUGGAGGAUUGACCCCUUCAGUGCCGCAGUUAACACAAUAAGUAAUCCACCUGGGGAGUACGACCGCAAGGUUGAAACUCAAAGGAAUUGACGGGGGCCCGCACAAGCAGUGGAGUAUGUGGUUUAAUUCGACGCAACGCGAAGAACCUUACCAAGUCUUGACAUCCUGCGACGAUGCUGGAAACAGUAUUUUCCUUCGGGACGCAGAGACAGGUGGUGCAUGGUUGUCGUCAGCUCGUGUCGUGAGAUGUUGGGUUAAGUCCCGCAACGAGCGCAACCCUUAUGGUCAGUUACUACGCAAGAGGACUCUGGCCAGACUGCCGUUGACAAAACGGAGGAAGGUGGGGAUGACGUCAAAUCAUCAUGCCCUUUAUGACUUGGGCUACACACGUACUACAAUGGCGUUAAACAAAGAGAAGCAAGACCGCGAGGUGGAGCAAAACUCAGAAACAACGUCCCAGUUCGGACUGCAGGCUGCAACUCGCCUGCACGAAGUCGGAAUUGCUAGUAAUCGUGGAUCAGCAUGCCACGGUGAAUACGUUCCCG